CCUACGGGAGGCAGCAGUGAGGAAUAUUGGUCAAUGGACGAGAGUCUGAACCAGCCAAGUAGCGUGAAGGAUGACUGCCCUAUGGGUUGUAAACUUCUUUUAUAAAGGAAUAAAACGAGGCACGUGUGCCUUUUUGCAUGUACUUUAUGAAUAAGGAUCGGCUAACUCCGUGUCAGCAGCCGCGGUAAUACGGAGGAUCCGAGCGUUAUCCGGAUUUAUUGGGUUUAAAGGGAGCGUAGAUGGGUUGUUAAGUCAGUUGUGAAAGUUUGCGGCUCAACCGUAAAAUUGCAAUUGAUACUGGCAGUCUUGAGUACAGUUGAGGUAGGCGGAAUUCGUGGUGUAGCGGUGAAAUGCUUAGAUAUCACGAAGAACCCCGAUUGCGAAGGCAGCCUACUAAACUGUGACUGACAUUGAUGCUCGAAAGUGUGGGUAUCAAACAGGAUUAGAUACCCCUGUAGUC
rnacentral:rRNA from 1 species